UACGUAGGGACCAAGCGUUGUCCGGAAUCAUUGGGCGUAAAGAGCGUGUAGGCGGCUUGUUAAGUCUUGCGUGAAAUCUCGGGGCUCAACCCCGAGCGGUCGUGAGAAACUGGCAGGCUAGAGUGCGGGAGAGGAGAGUGGAAUUCCUGGUGUAGCGGUGAAAUGCGCAGAUAUCAGGAAGAACACCCGUGGCGAAGGCGGCUCUCUGGAACGCAACUGACACUGAGACGCGAAAGCGUGGGGGAGCAAACAGG
rnacentral:rRNA from 1 species